AUUGAACGCUGGCGGCAGGCCUAACACAUGCAAGUCGAGCGAGCGGCGGACGGGUGAGUAAUGUCUGGGAAACUGCCCGAUGGAGGGGGCUAACUACUGGAAACGGUAGCUAAUACCGCAUACCAUCAGAUCUGCCCAGAUGGGAUUAGCUAGUAGGUGGGGUAACGGCCCACCAAGGCGACCAUCCCUAGCUGGUCUGGGAGGAUGAUCAGCCACACUGGAACUGAGACACGGUCCAGACUCCUACGGUAGGCAGCAGUGGGGAAUAUUGCACAAUGGGCGCAAGCCUGAUGCAGCCAUGCCGCGUGUGGGAAGAAGGCCUUCGGGUUGUAAAGCACUUUCAGCGGGGAGGCGUUACCCGCAGAAGAAGCACCGGCUAACUCCGUGCCAGCAGCCGCGGUAAUUC
rnacentral:rRNA from 1 species